GUGCCAGCAGCCGCGGUAAUACGUAGGGUGCGAGCGUUAAUCGGAAUUACUGGGCGUAAAGCGUGCGCAGGCGGUUUUGUAAGACAGAUGUGAAAUCCCCGGGCUUAACCUGGGAACUGCGUUUGUGACUGCAAGGCUAGAGUACGGCAGAGGGGGGUGGAAUUCCACGUGUAGCAGUGAAAUGCGUAGAGAUGUGGAGGAACACCGAUGGCGAAGGCAGCCCCCUGGGCCUGUACUGACGCUCAUGCAC
rnacentral:rRNA from 1 species